rnacentral:misc_RNA from 1 species
GAUGAAGAACGCAGCGAAACGCGAUAGUUAAUGUGAAUUGCAGAAUUCAGUGAAUCAUCGAGUCUUUGAACGCACAUUGCGCCCCCUAGUAUUCCGGGGGGCAUGCCUGUCCGAGCGUCAUUGCUGCCCAUCAAGCGCGGCUUGUGUGUUGGGCCGCCGUCCGCCUUCCCCCCCGGGGGGAGGGGGACGGGCCCGAAAGGCAGCGGCGGCACCGCGUCCGGUCCUCGAGCGUAUGGGGCUCUGUCACCCGCUCUGGAGGCCCGGCCGGCGCCCGCCGACCCCCAACCUUCUUCUAACCAGGUUGACCUCGGAUCAGGUAGGGAUACCCGCUGAACUUAAGCAUAUCAAUAAGCGGAGGA